rnacentral:rRNA from 1 species
UACGGGGGGGGCAAGCGUUGUUCGGAAUUACUGGGCGUAAAGGGCUCGUAGGCGGCCAACUAAGUCAGACGUGAAAUCCCUCGGCUUAACCGGGGAACUGCAUCUGAUACUGGAUGGCUUGAGUUCGGGAGAGGGAUGCGGAAUUCCAGGUGUAGCGGUGAAAUGCGUAGAUAUCUGGAGGAACACCGGUGGCGAAGGCGGCGACCUGGGAAGAUACUGACGCUGAGAUGCGAAAGCGUGGGGAGCAAACAGG